GAUGAACGCUGACAGAAUGCUUAACACAUGCAAGUCAACUUGAACUUCGGUUUGGGUGGCGGACGGGUGAGUAACGCGUAAAGAACUUGCCUCACAGAUAGGGACAACAUUUGGAAACGAAUGCUAAUACCUGAUAUUAUGAUUUUAGGGCAUCCUAGGAUUAUGAAAGCUAUAUGCACUGUGAGAGAGCUUUGCGUCCCAUUAGCUAGUUGGAGAGGUAACGGCUCACCAAGGCGAUGAUGGGUAGCCGGCCUGAGAGGGUGAUCGGCCACAAGGGGACUGAGACACGGCCCUUACUUCUACCGUAGGCAGCGAUGGGGAAUAUUGUACCAUGGACCAACAUUCUGAUCCCGCAAUUGUGUGUGCACAAUGAAGGUCCUCGGAAUGAAAAGUGCUUUCAGUUGGGAAGAAAAAGAUGACGGUACCAGUCCAAGAACUGUCGGGGACGAUCAUGCCAGCAGGCCCGGUACUACUUAUC
rnacentral:rRNA from 1 species